CAAAUGAAUUGACGGGACCCCGCACAAGCGGUGGAUCAUGUUGUUUAAUUCGAGGAUACGCGAAGAACCUUACCAGGCCUUGACAUACCGUGCGAAGCUAUAGAGAUAUAGUGAAGGCUAACACGGAUACAGGUGGUGCAUGGUUGUCGUCAGCUCGUGUCGUGAGAUGUUGGGUUAAGUCCCGCAACGAGCGCAACCCUCAUUGCUAGUUGCCAUCAUUAAGUUGGGGACUCUAGCGAGACUGCCAGUGAUAAACUGGAGGAAGGUGGGGAUGACGUCAAAUCAUCAUGCC
rnacentral:rRNA from 1 species